UAUAUUUGGUUGUUGAUUGGUGUUAUAGUGUGAUUUAGCAGACAGCUGGACAACUAGUUAGUUUCUUUCUUUUGAUUAUUACCUUCAUUGAUCAGCCUUUGAGUUUUGCAAUUAGUCUUCUUGUUAAUUGUUUUUUCUGGGACAUGUCUUCUAUGUUGACAGUGUGGUCUAGGUGAUGCUUUCCGUUGCAGUACGUGUCCUUAUAAGGGUCUUCCUCCAUUCAAACUAGGCGAAAAGGUAACACUUUCUGGGAAUUUUCUUGAUGCUGACAUCUAAUUGCGGAUGAUAACAGUCUAUAUGGGAUUGCAGAAACCGUUAUAAUUAGGUCAAAAUUAGUUUGUUCAUUUUGGUUGAGGUGAGAUAAGUGAAUGUGUAAUAUGGACUCUUGAAGAAGUGAGGGAAAUAGCAGUGGACUGUGAACUAGUGUUAAGACUUCUAAUAGCUGUUAGAAGAGACUUGGAUUUAUAUGACAGAACAUAGAGAUUUCUAGUGUGUA